GACUAACACGGUGCUGGUCAGAUCUAUGU
rnacentral:piRNA from 1 species